rnacentral:tRNA from 1 species
GCCUGUUUGGCUCAGUCUGUAGAGCAUGUGACUCUUGAUCUCAAGGUCAUGCGUUCAAACCCACGUUGGGCA